CAAUAGCGUAUAUUAAAGUUGUUGCGGUAAAAAAGCUCGUAGUUGGAUUUCUGUUGAGAGCGACCGGUCCAUACCAUGUAUGUGUAUCUGGCUUGCUCUCGGCAUCCUCUCGAUAGACGUUGCUGCGCUUGAUUGCGUGGCGCGGAUCUCGGGACUUUUACUUUGAGGAAAUUAGAGUGUUCACGGCAGGCUUUCGCCCUGAAUAUAUUAGCAUGGAAUAAUGAUAUAGGAUCUGAUGCCUAUUUUGUUGGUUUCUAGGCGUGAGAUAAUGAUUAAUAGGGACAAUUGGGGGGAUUUGUAUUAUGGCGUCAGAGGUGGAAUUCUUGGAUUGCCAUACGACAAACUACUGCGAAAGCAUUUCUCAAGGAUGUUUUCAUUGAUCAAGAACGAAAGUAAGGGGAUCGAAGAUGAUUAGAUACCAU
rnacentral:rRNA from 1 species